GCCUGGGUGGCUCAGUCGGUUGAGCGUCCGACUUCCGCUCAGGUCAUGAUCUCACAGCUCGUGAGUUCGAGCCCCAUGUCAGGCU
rnacentral:tRNA from 1 species